UACAGAGGGUGCAAGCGUUGUCCGGAAUCACUGGGCGUAAAGGGCGCGUAGGUGGCCUGAUAAGUAGGAGGUGAAAUCCUGGGGCUUAACCUCAGGGCUGCCUUCUAGACUGUCCGGCUCGAGCACAGUAGAGGCAGGUGGAAUUCCCGGUGUAGCGGUGGAAUGCGUAGAGAUCGGGAAGAACAUCGGUGGCGAAGGCGGCCAGCUGGGCCGUUGCUGACGCUGAGGCGCGACAGCGUGGGGAGCAAACAGG
rnacentral:rRNA from 1 species